rfam:Danio rerio chromosome 23, GRCz11 reference primary assembly.
GUGGGUUAUGGAGACAUGUGUCCUAUUACAUUAGGUGGUAAGAUUGUGGGCACUCUUUGUGCCAUUGCAGGUGUUUUGACCAUUGCCCUACCAGUGCCUGUGAUAGUCUCCAAU